rnacentral:snoRNA from 1 species
CCCCUGCAGAUUCCUUAGCUACUGGAUCUAAACAUUGGUCUGCGUGGCUAGAAAGGAGAAAAACUAAAAGUGAAACUGAUGGGGAUUCUUUUGUAACACACAAGUUAGUUUCAAACAAAC